CCUUUCCAGAGAACCCAGGUAGGAGGCAGAGGUGAGAGGAUGACUUACUUUGGCCCAGCCACUGUUGUUGACAAACAUGAUUGGUGCAGGGUGGUGCCAGUGUGAUUUACUGUUCAUCUGGACCAAGAGAUCCGUAGGAGGGAGCUCUGCUGGGGAGCAUACUGCUGCAUUCAAUCACACUUGAACCUGAAGAUCUAGGACAACCUUAACAGGAAAAAGCAAAAGAGAAACAUGACACGAGGUAGUAGGAAUGUGGAUGUAUUCCACGACUGAGUGUAGUCCGUCUCUUCAGUUCAACAGAAAGUUUACAAGCUGUAGUGAGCAAUCCUUGCCACAGCACUGAAAAUGGCGGGCAUUGAUCACUGCAUUGAACUUUGUUAGUCACUUGUAUACUCUCACUACUGUAGAAAGACUUCUGCAAAAAGAUUUCUAAAUAUUUUUUUUUCUUUUUUCCCCAGUCUCACACUGCCUCCCUUAUUAUAUUUAGCAGGCUUUAGCACUUUUACUAACAUAAAUAAAUAAAAAUAUUUUAUAAGCCUGAGGAAUUGUUUUAAAGUUGUUUAUAUAUAUGCAUACAUAUAUAUAUAUAUAAAUUUAACUUCCUAAAUCUGUUCUUAAUCCCUUACUAAAUGUUGUUGGCAAGUAUUAGCCAGUAAGAUUAACUGUAAUAUGUAGGCUUUUUUUUUUUAGUAUCUGCAAAUAGCUGUGAGUAAUCCUCAUUUAAGCAUGGAUCUAAUUCACAUGUACUUUUGAAGCUGAUGAAUAGCAUUACAAAGAGAAUGAGAAUAUUUGAGAAUUUAUUUAAAUAAAAAUUAAUUGAAAAAUGAAUACCAUUAUAUAACCUUCUUAUUUUUAUGCAUAGUUUAAAUUUUCACUUGAAGGAAUGUAGUCAAUAAUAGUCCACUGAAGUAACUAAACUAAGCAGUCAGAAAAUAUAACUGAACAUAUGCAUUUAGAUUUUUAAAAUGUAUUAUUAAAAAUAAGUAUUUUUAAGAUGUAUGUGGAAGGAAUUUAUUUCCUAUUUUUCAGCUUAAGCAAUAACUGUAGACAAAAUUUAACACCUAUGUGAUACCAAAAGAGAAGUUUUAAAAUUACCUCAGUGAUAUCAACAACAUUUUUUGCAUUCUCUACUGGCUAGCAUAAAUUAAGAGUAUUUAAAGAUUAAUUAUUAAUACAUAAUAAAACCAAGUAGGUAAGAACAUAUGAUAAAUCAGUAUAUUUUAUAGUUAAAUUGUCCUAUUCCUCUUUUAGGAGUUUGAUUAUAUGGAGUCAUAUCACUACAACUC